rnacentral:rRNA from 1 species
UACGGGGGGGGCAAGCGUUGUUCGGAAUUACUGGGCGUAAAGGGCGCGUAGGCGGUUCGAUAAGUCAGCUGUGAAAACCAUGGGCUUAACUCAUGGCCUGCAGUUGAGACUGUCGGGCUGGAGUGUGGGAGAGGAGAGUGGAAUUCCUGGUGUAGCGGUGAAAUGCGUAGAUAUCAGGAGGAACACCGGUGGCGAAGGCGGCUCUCUGGGCCGGUACUGACGCUGAGGAGCGAAAGCAUGGGGAGCGAACAGG